UACGGAGGGGGCUAGCGUCGUUCGGAAUUACUGGGCGUAAAGCGUAUGUAGGCGGCUCUGUAAGUUAGAGGUGAAAGCCCGGAGCUUAACUCCGGAACUGCCUUUAAGACUGCAUCGCUAGAAUUGUGGAGAGGUGAGUGGAAUUCCGAGUGUAGAGGUGAAAUUCGUAGAUAUUCGGAAGAACACCAGUGGCGAAGGCGACUCACUGGACACAUAUUGACGCUGAGGUACGAAAGCGUGGGGAGCAAACAGG
rnacentral:rRNA from 1 species